rnacentral:rRNA from 1 species
ACCCAGAGGUGGGGGAUAACGCAGCGAAAGCUGUGCUAAUACCGCAUGUGAUCUGAGGAUGAAAGCGGGGGACCUUCGGGCCUCGCGCCUUUGGAGCGGCCGAUGUCGGAUUAGCUAGUUGGUGGGGUAAAGGCCUACCAAGGCGACGAUCCGUAGCUGGUCUGAGAGGACGACCAGCCACACUGGGACUGAGACACGGCCCAGACUCCUACGGGAGGCAGCAGUGGGGAAUUUUGGACAAUGGGCGCAAGCCUGAUCCAGCAAUGCCGCGUGCGGGAAGAAGGCCUUCGGGUUGUAAACCGCUUUUGGCAGGAACGAAAAGCUCUGGGCGAAUACCCUGGGGUGAUGACGGUACCUGCAGAAUAAGCACCGGCUAACUACGUGCCAGCAGCCGCGGUAAUACGUAGGGUGCGAGCGUUAAUCGGAAUUACUGGGCGUAAAGCGUGCGCAGGCGGUUGUGUAAGACAGGCGUGAAAUCCCCGGGCUCAACCUGGGAAUGGCGCUUGUGACUGCACGGCUGGAGUGCGGCAGAGGGGGAUGGAAUUCCGCGUGUAGCAGUGAAAUGCGUAGAUAUGCGGAGGAACACCGAUGGCGAAUGCAGUCCCCUGGGCCUGCACUGACGCUCAUGUACGAAAGCGUGU